rnacentral:rRNA from 1 species
GACGAACGCUGGCGGCGUGCUUAACACAUGCAAGUCGAACGGAAAGGCCCUGCUUUUGUGGGGUGCUCGAGUGGCGAACGGGUGAGUAACACGUGAGUAACCUGCCCUUGACUUUGGGAUAACUUCAGGAAACUGGGGCUAAUACCGGAUAGGAGCUCCUGCUGCAUGGUGGGGGUUGGAAAGUUUCGGCGGUUGGGGAUGGACUCGCGGCUUAUCAGCUUGUUGGUGGGGUAGUGGCUUACCAAGGCUUUGACGGGUAGCCGGCCUGAGAGGGUGACCGGCCACCUUGGGACUGCGAUACGGCCCAGACUGCUACGGGAGGCAGCAGUGGGGAAUAUUGCCCAGUGGGCGGAAGCCUGAUGAAGCAACGCCGCGUGCGGGAUGACGGCCUUCGGGUUGUAAACCGCUUUCGCCUGUGACGAAGCGUGAGUGACGGUAAUGGGUAAAGAAGCACCGGCUAACUACGUG